UAGGGAAAAGUGUACAGACCUGGACAGCAUCAUGUGCACAGUGGAAGAGACCAAGGAGCUCUCGUGGGCUGAGUGUGUGAAAUCCUGAGGCAAAUUCUUCUUGCAAACUCAGGGCACGUGGGAGAUGAGAGGGGAAAACAUCAGCUCCUAAAGCUUUGCCUGCUGGCUCAGGAGCAGGGAAAGAAAUGCAUAAAAAGUGAAUAUAGUUCUGUUUCUUUUUUAGGUCACAGCUGGAAUUAGCCAUGAGGUGUUUAACACUGAAGUGGGAGAGAAGGAUGAAACACCAGGAAGAGGAGCUGCUCGAAAACUGGUGAGCCCAGUGUCCCUUUAGAACAAGGAAAAUGAAGGAUUUGUUUGGGAAAUAAGAAAAAUGAGAGUGAAAGCCACAGCAGUCACAGGUUGUGGAGCUGCCUGCUUUUAACACACAGAGCUCUGGGAUCUGCCCUGAAAUCCCAGCUGGUGGGGAGUUCCCAGCCCUGCUGGGGAAGGAUUCACAGACUCAACCUUGCCCAGCUCUCAGACCUUCUUGUGCAAUCCAUGUCCCAUCGCAGACACGUCUGGGAGAAAUGCGGAGAUUUCCUGAGAGCGCUGCCAUGGAAAUUCCUGAGAUUUCUGCUGUGGAUGGACACGUAGGGUAGGAGGAGGCAGCCAUUUAGGAGGUGCAUUUUCCACAGAA